UAACUAUGAGCACCAUACCAAAAUUGUU
rnacentral:sRNA from 1 species